AGCGAACGCUGGCGGCAGGCCUAACACAUGCAAGUCGAACGAAGUCUUCGGACUUAGUGGCGGACGGGUGAGUAACACGUGGGAACGUACCUUUUGGUUCGGAACAACUCAGGGAAACUUGAGCUAAUACCGGAUGAGCCCUUAGGGGGAAAGAUUUAUCGCCGAAAGAGCGGCCCGCGUUAGAUUAGCUAGUUGGUGAGGUAAAGGCUCGCCAAGGCUACGAUCUAUAGCUGGUCUGAGAGGAUGAUCAGCCACACUGGGACUGAGACACGGCCCAGACUCCUACGGGAGGCAGCAGUGGGGGAUCUUGCGCAAUGGGCGAAAGCCUGACGCAGCCAUGCCGCGUGAAUGAUGAAGGUCUUAGGAUUGUAAAAUUCUUUUACCAGGGACGAUAAUGACGGUACCUGGAGAAAAAGCCCCGGCUAACUUCGUGCCAGCCGCCGCAGUAACAC
rnacentral:rRNA from 1 species